CAGAGCCAGAUUUUAGAGAGAGACAUUUCAAAGAGGCCCUGUGAAACUUCAAGCUUGGUGGAAGAGGAAGGAAACAAAUAGCAGCCAUGGAAUGGAAGCCUGGAAUCUUGGGUCUAAAAUACAGAAGAGAAUAGGCGGAUCAGGUCCAGUUCUUCACCCAGGUCCUAGAAACAGCAGCACGAGAACCGGAGCGGCGGUAAACCCAGCAAGACCAGGAGACAGCAGCCUUCUGGACACCUGCACUGACUCCCUAGGUAAAGGUAAGAUGGAAAAAAAAAAAAAAAGAAAAAAAAGGAAAAAAAAAAAAAAAAAAACCAUUGCAUUUUCUGGGCAAGAUCAUGCGGGUUUUCAUAACAGACGUUACAACUGGGAUGCACUGCUGUUUGUAGUUUUGUUUGGACGCACAGAAAAGGGGUUCCUGGGUGGUGUAGCUCGGGGGAUUAGUGGCUGUGUGGUUACCCCCUCUCCUCCCUCUGCUGGCCAGUGUGGGGCAAACGCGGGUGCUGGCAUCCCACGUUCCCCCGGCAUCGAGAGGAAAGCACUGCUUGAUUGCAGUGUUUCUUGAUUUCUCUGAUUUGUUGUUCUUGUUACCAAGUACCGACAGCUUUAGGGUGCUGUGAUGCGAGGUUUAGCAGCGAUAGAGGAAGGGAGAUAGAUCUGAGAGUUCAAGAAGUCAUGAAGAUUUUAUUUAAUUUUGUUUUAUGCUUUUUAAAAACAGAUGUAGUUUAGCUAUUUAUUUAUAAUAGGCUCAGGCUCAAUGAUCUGACUGAUCUGUUUGUGUUUAGGAUCUAAAGGGGUUUUAUGAAAAAAGGAAGAAAAGUGCAUUAUUACAUGAAAUAGCUUCAUGAAUAAUAGCUAUCUUGCUGUUCUGAAAUUGAAUUAACAAUAUGUGAUAUGCUUUAGUGUGUAUACCAACAGAACAACAAAGCUUCAUUGUUUUUGUACUGAAUGAUCACAUUUUCUUUUAUUUUUUUUUUCAGCCAGAACAGGUGACUUACCAAAAACAAACAAAAAAAUUGUUUGGAGUCACUGAUAGAGUAGUGAAAGGAAAUGAAGUUCUCACGAUAUAUAAAGCUGUUAGUCAUACUUGAAUACUUGCAUAACAAAGAAAUCUAAAAAUAAGUUGUUAAAAUUGGAAAGUUUUGCACCAUGAGUGCUGCUGACAAUGAAAGUGUUCUUUGGUAAAUGAGCAUGGAAAAACUUGCUAAUUGCUUAUGACUAACCUGAGUUGCUUUUUACUGUAAGGCACAUAAAGAACCAAGGCUUUUUUCUUGUAAAAAGUUAGAAUGUAGAUUGAUCAGACUUGACUUAGUAGUAUAAAAGAUAAGG
rnacentral:lncRNA from 1 species